rnacentral:lncRNA from 1 species
CUGUAAAACCGACCAGUCGGCUCUCUGUAAAAUGGACCAAUCAGCAGGAUGUGGGUGGGGCCAGAUAAGGGAAUAAAAGCAGGCUGCGGGAGGUAGCAGUGGUAACGCGGUGGGGUUGAUCUUCCAUGGUGUGAAGACUUCGUUCUUUCGCUCUUUGCAAUGACUCUUGGUGCUACUCACUCUGGGUUCACGCUGCCUUUAUGAGUUGUGAGACUCACCGCGAAGGUCUGUAGCUUCACAGCUGAAGCCAUCGAGACCACGAACCCACCAGGAGGAACGAACAACUCCAGAAGCACCGCCUUAAAAGCUGUAACACCCACCGCGAAGAUCUGCAGGUUCACUCCUGAGCUGCCGAGACCACGAACCCACCGGAAGAAAGAAACUUCGAACACAUCCGAACAUGAGAAAUAACAAACUCCAGAUACGCGUCUUUUAAGAACUGUAGCAAUCACCGUGAGGGUCCGCGGCUUCAUUCUUGAAGUGAGACCAAGAACCCACCAAUUCCGGACGCAACUGCCCUCCAGCCUGGGCGACAGAGCGAGACUCCGUCUCAAAAAAAAAAAAAAAAAAAAAAAAAAAAAACAGAAACAAUCCCACCCAGCUUUAGCAAGUCGGAGGAGAAGUGAAGACCAGAAUUAGAGUGGUUAUCUAAAGACAGAUUUGAAUCUGGGGUUUAGAAGAAAACAGCGGUGUUACAAAUGAAAACAAAAUGGGUCCUGUCUGAGAAGCCCCAGGAGAGAACACCUAUAUUAUUAAAGGAAGCAUGGACACUAGCGCCAAACACUGCGUAUCACCACCAGCCCCACGGCCACCAGCUGCUCAGGGAUGUGCCAUCUUGCUGAAGCCUCUGCCUCUGCCAGACUGGGUUCCUCCAGGGCCUCUGCUUUUGCACCCCCAGCUCCUAGUUCCAAGCCUGGUGUGGGUGCAUGUGAUGGGCAGGGACUGGAUCCCAUGCCUGUAAGCUAGUGACAAGAGAGUCAGGAAAACUGACGUGGGGCUUUCAGCAACUACAGUGGGAGGCUUCCACUAGAAGGGAAUUGGGAUGCUGAGAAGCUAAAGAGACUGACAAAUGUGCACUAGAUUAAGAAAUAGAAAAAUAAAUUACGAUACCUGAAUACAAGUGAGAUAUUGUAAGGGAGCAGAAUCUAAAUCUACAAACUUGGUUUUUCUAUCGAUACAUGAUUUUUAUUCCAAGUGCUCAGCUGGAGUGGGAGUAGUUAUGGCAAAUUAAUCUCAGGGAGUUGUGAUUCUUCUGUGGGGUGUAUCUAAAUUUUGGGGUCUUACACAGUGCAACAGCAAGGACCCUCUGCUGUAAAUUGGC